rnacentral:lncRNA from 1 species
AAGAGGUGUGUGAGCAAGGAAGAGCUGAAAAAGGAUUAGAAAAUGUUGGUCAGAGCGGCUCGUGCUAAAAAAAAGCAAAUUUGCGACAGAUCGCAAAAUUAGAGAUAGGCGCGCACAGACAAACCAUAAAAAGGACCAGAAAAGACUAGUCAAAGCAUCUCACGCUCGAAGAAGGCCUGGUCGCAAAAUCAGAGGCCGCCGUGCACAAAGGACCCAAAAAAAUAACUAGAAAAGACUAGUCGGAGUGGCUCGUGUACGAAGUAAACAGAUCUAUCUAGCAAGGCAGCGGCUCGACUCGGUUCGACUCGGCUCAAGCAUAGAUGGCUUGGCUCGACUCACGCAGCAGCUCAAAUCGGAUCGGCUCAUGCUCGGUGCUCAAGCAAGGACGGACUAGAUCCGAGUGGUCCCGCGCGCAGAAUGGCGAGAGCUGGACGUCCCCGUGCGUAGAAGGCUAGAAUGACGCGGCGGAGAGCCCUGACCAGCAAAUACAGCGCGGCUCAAUGGGGGAUAGAGCAGGUCGUGGCGAGAGAAGAAGAUCUGUUCAACGCGACCAGAUCUGUAGUGCGCGGUACUCCGGUGGGGAGCGUGAACGGUUCUACGAGUGGAAGAAGGCCGGAUCUGACCGGAUUUGGCCAGAGAAGACGACCGGAGCGCAGCGGCUGGUCGCGGAAUUUUGCAAUUCCGGGCGUGCUUUUAACUCGUUCUCACCAGAUCCGUACCAGAUCUGAGCGUGCGCACGGUUCUGUGGUGAUUCCCGAUGAGUCUCGCGGUGGCAAGUGGUGGUCAAUGGCUGCUGCGGCAGCCGGCGGCGCGUGAUCACGCGCCUCUGCUGCUGGUGGUCGACGGAGUCGGAAAAAAGGCCUCCGGUUGGUCUACGGCACUGUCCGGGACGAUCAUGAUAGCAGAUUUGAAUUAAGUAAAUAUCAACUUAGCCUAUUUUUUAUUUUAAGAUUAUAAUUUUAUGGUUUCUUUCAAAUUCUAAAAUAAUUUUAUUCAACUCUAUUAUCAUCUUAAUAUUUUAGAUAAAAAAUAAUUUUAUUUUUUAUUUUUAUAUUAUUAUAUUUAAAAUAUUUAUAAAACUUUUAAUUAUAAAUAAAAAAAUUAUUAUUCUAAUAAAAUUUUAAUUAUAUAAAAUUAAUAUUUUAAUAUAAUUUUAAUUAAGUUAUUUUAACUAAUUAAAUAAUAAAUAAAAAUAAUAAAAUAUACUACUUAACAUUUUUUUAUGUUAUAAUUCAUAAAUUUCAUGACACAUGACGUCAGAGAGAAUUUUAUUCUCUAUAAAAUAACACAAGAACUUUUGCAUGUUGCACGUGAGACCUACUCAAAUAAGGAAGAUAGAGUGAAGGUGUUUGAAAUUGAAGUCCCUCCAUACCCUCUAUUAGAAGAACCUCUUAGUCACCCAAUAUUUAAGUCGUCUGUGCAAGUAUUUAUGGCAAUUAGAUGCGUAGGAAAUUACUCAAUAGGAUUGCCUAAUGCAGCUAAGUAGAAGAAGAUCAUUGAGAAGAAAUAGAUCUAUAAGUUUUGUUGAGACUCAAUAAAAACUUUGAUAAAAUUCAUGGUCGAAUCCUAACAAUCAAAUCUCUAUCUAAUCUUCAAGAGGUAGGAGUUAGAGUCCAAAAAAAAAGUUGAAAAAGGUAAUGAUGUGUCCUAAGAAUCAGUCCAUCAAUAACGACGAUAUUUUUUUCCUUGCAUCACAAAGAACUGAGGAUAAAGAGACUAAAAAAAAAAGACCAUGGUGCAAGCAUUGCAAGAAGUUCGAAUACUCUUAUGACACCUGCUGUGACAUUCAUAGAAAAUUCCAUUAUUAGAAGCCAAAAAGCAAAAGGCAUGGACGUGCAAAUCAUACUACAACCAUGGAACAACUGAAUCAAUUCAACAAGGAGCAAUUGGAAAUCUUUCAAAAGUUAAUUAUUAAUGCGCAACCAAUUUCUUUUACUCCAAAUUCCAAUCUCUUGACAAUAACAAACGUGGCACAUGAAGAUAUUUUUUCAACAAUCCUCAAAACUUAUAGGAUGGACAAGAAAAAUUCAUAGAUAAUCAAUUCUAGAGCCUCUAAUUAUAUGACUGACGAUGUAUCUCUUAUCCAAAAUCUUACUAUUUAUCAUGAAAACUAUAAUGUCAAGAUAGUUGAUAAUCGGCUUCAAAAGUGACCAAUAAAGGAUCUGUAGCUCUCUUAGAAAACCUGAACCCCAACUAGUUCUAUUAGUUCCAAAUUUGGAUUGCAAUCUUCUGUCAAUUAAUCAACUUAUAAGGGAAAUAAACUGUCUCUGUAUUCACCUUUAAUUUUGUAUCUAUCAGAAUUUGACUUCGGGACGAAUGAUUGGCAGUGAUGACUUGUAUUUGAGACUUUAUAUACCCAAUACAGUCAAACCUCAUGAGAAUUUUUCAACCAAAGGAAGAUAAUGUUUUUCUGCCCUCAAGAAUAAAGAUAGUGAAAUAAUGUUAUAGUACUACCAUUUAGGUUAUCUAUAUCUUAUACCUAAAGAAAUUUUUUAUGUUAUGUUCUUGAGAUUAAGGUUUCGUCAUUGGCAGUUCUCUGAAAUUUUUAGUUUUAGAAUAUGUUUCUUCUCCUUGUUGCGAUUCCUUGAGCGAUUAAUUUUGUGACAAUUUAUUACAGCUCAUCAGAGGGAGCUGUUACUUUGGAUCGAGAGAGCUUCAUUCUUGUAGUUUAAAAUAAUAUUGACUUGUCUUUAUUAAUAGUAGAUAUACUUUUUUAUAUACAAAUUACAAUUUUUAUUUACAAAUCUUAAUUUAAUUAGAAAUCUAAAUUUAAAUAAAAAUAUUCUACUAAAAUAUUAGAAAUCCUAUAUUAGUUAGAAAUCCAAUAUUAAUGGAAAAUUAUAUUAUAUUUAGGAAUCUAAUUUUAAGAUUUCAUGUUUAAUAUUUAGGAAUUUAAUAUUAAUUAUGAUUUCAUAUUUAAUUGAACUUCAAUCUCUUAUUCAGGCCCAAUAAAUGCAUCCAUAAUAUUUUUCUUUGUUGUUUAAUUAUAACUUUAUUGAAUUUUAGUAUGAACCUUGUCAAUUGUCCAAAUAUGUUUGAAAUACCUAUCAUAUCUAAAAAUACAAAGAACCAUUUCCUUUUCAAUGAUUAAUAGUGAUGUUUAGAGAUCAUACAAAGUCAAGACUUUAAAUGGAGUAAAAUAAUUUAUAACAUUCAUAGAUGAUCACUCACGCUUCACUUGGGUAUUCCUCAUGAAUGAUAAAUCUGAGAUUAUGUAAAUUGUUCAAGUAUUUCAAUAAAAUGGUUUUGACUCAAUUGAACACUAAAGUCCAUAUCUUCUAUACGGAUGAUGUCAAAGAUUUUCAAUUCUAUCAUUGAAGAAUAUCUAAUCGAACAGAAAAUUAUCCAUAAAAGUUCAUAUAUUGGCAACCAUCAAUAAAAUAGGGUAAUUGAAAAAAAAAAACACAUUUAUUAAGAAUUACACAAACUAUCAUGAUCCAAUCUUAUUUUCUAAAAAAAAAAUUUGGGGGGAUGCCUAAUUCACUACAGCCUCUUAGUCAACUACAUGUAUUCCCGUGUCCUACAAUUCCAAACAUUGUGUCAAGUCUUUAAAAAUACCUAUCCAUCAACAUGGCUCAUCUCAUCAAUUCCUCUAAAGAUCUUUGGAUGUUUAUUAUUUGUUCAUGUUCCUCAAUAAUUUAGAAACAAAUUUGGCCCGAAGACCAUAAAAUAUAUCUUCUUUAGGUAUGUACCAAAUUAAAAUGGAUAUAAAUGUUACUCUCUGGUCACCAAGAAAUUUUAUCACUAUAUGGACAUUACAUUCUUUGAAAAUGAUCAUUUUAUUCAAAAAAUGAUGUCUAGAGGGAAAGUGAAAAUGUAGAAGAAACACCCUUUUCAGAAAUUUGGGAGCAACACUUGAACACAAGAUCCCGAACCUAUUGAGUCAAAUUCUCCUUAUCCGUCAAUUGUUUCCACGAACAUCACUUCUAGCCCGAAAGACUCCUCUCAAAGUAUUCCCCCAAACAAUAAGAAAGAACUCUUAAUAUACUUAAGAAAACAUAAAAGUCAGGCACCUGUAGAGGAAUAAAUACAAGAAAGAACUAGUUAUAAAGUUAGACCAGAGCCAAUAUAGGAAGAUACACAAUCAGAUAAUGCUUCUGGUAAGUUGAUACUUCAAGAUCUCGAUUUACCAAUUGCUCAAAGAAGGGAAGUUAGGUCUUGUACUCAUCAUCUUAUUUACAAUUUUAUGUCAUAUAAGAAAUUAUUCCUUGAAUAUCGUGUUUUUGCUGCUAAACUCAUGGAAAUCUAGAUUCUUAUAGCAUUCAAGAAGUCAUACAAUAUCAUGAGUGGAAGGAAGCUGUUAUUAAGGAAGUGACGUUACUUGAGAAAAAUGGUACGUGAGAACUUGUUGAUCAACUUUUGGGGGGAAAAAAAACCUAUGGGAUGCCAGUGGAUUUUCACUGUUAAAUACAAUGCAGAUAGUACCAUAGAGAGAUUCAAAACUCGUUUUAUUGCUAAAGACUUUACUCAAGUUUAUGGUAUUGACUAUCAGGAGAUUUUUGCAACUUGUAUAAAACUUGACAUCAUUUGAAUUCCCUUGUCAUUUGUAGCAUAUUUUGAUUGGAAACUUCAUUAGUUGGACAUCAAGAAUGUCAUUCUCAAUGGGAACCCAAAAAAAAAGUAUACAUGGAGAUCCUUGAAGGCCUCAAAGAUCAGACUAACUCAUACAAUGUUUGUAAGCUGAGAAAAUCUCUCUAUAACCUCAAGCAAUUUGCUCAGAGCUUGGUUUGAGAGAUUCUCUAAGGCUGUAGAAAAAUUUGGAUAUGUUCAAUGUUAGUCAGAUUAUUAUACCCUAUGCGUUAAAUAUUUUUCUCGUAGAAAGAUAUCUAUCAUAAUUGUCUAUAUAGAUAAUAUUAUCUUGACAGGAUAUCAUGAAGAGGAGAUUAUAGAACUUAAGAAAGUUUUUACUCAUGAAUUCAAAGUCAAAGGUCUAGGAAACCUAAAAUACUUACUCAUGAUAAAAAUUAUAAGAACUCAGUCAGAAAUUAUGGUUUGACAAAGAAAGGAUGUCCGUCAUUACUCAAAGAAAGAGGAAUGUUGGGUUGUAAACCUGCAGAUCCCAAUGGAAGCAAUCACCAAAUGAAAAGAAGGAGACAGUGUUCUAUGUGACAAAUGAGGAUACCAAAGGUUAAUCGGAAAACUCAUCUGCCUCUCACACACAUGACUAGAUAUUGGCUUUGUUGUUGCUGUGGAUAGUCAGUUCAUAAAUAAUCAUACUAAAGAACACGUAAAUUGACUAUAUUAUAUUCUAAGUAUUUAAAGAAAUCUCCUGGAGAAGGUCUUCACUUCAAUAAGACUAGAAACAACAAUACUGAAGUGUUUAUUGAUGCUGAUUGGGCAAGAUCUACUACCAAUCGAAAAUCCACUUCAGGAUACUGUACUCAUGUGUGGAGAAAUUGAGUUACUUAACAAAGCAAAAAACAGAGAGGUUGCUCGGAGUAGUGCAAAACCAGAGCUUAGAGCUAUGGCCCAGGGGAUAUAUAAAGGAAUGUGCUUAAAAUGAUUACUCAGCAAACUUAACGUUCAAGUGAUACCAUCAAUAUUCUGUGAUAACCAAGCUGCUACACGUAUAGCCAAGCAUCCUAUUCAUUAAUACAUUACGAAACAUAUAGAAAUAGAUAGACACCUAAUCAAGGAGAAGAUAGAAGGGGAUUUAAUUAACAUCUACGACAUUCCUACUAAUCAACAAAGAGCAAAUAUUCUAACUAAGGCGCUACUAAAGGUAAAAUUUGAAGAUAUGAGAUCCAAAUUAGGCUUACUUGACAUUUACAAUCCAGCUUGAGGGAAGUGUUGAAAAUUGAGUAACUAUAGUCGCUAUAUCAGAAAUAUUUACUUUCUAACCAAGGUUGAUCAAAUUUUUUUGAUUUGGUCUGCCAUUUAUGCUGAAAAAUCAUCUCAGUAACUGGGAAGCUUCUUACCAGAUUUAUUUGAUUUAAUUUGUCAUUUAUUCUGGAAAAGACUAUCACUAACUAGGAUUCUUUUUUUUUUUUGUCUAAAUAUGAUAACUUUUGUAGUAUAAUACAAUUCUUGUAUCAUUAUCAAAGACAAUGAAAAAUACAAAAUUUUCAUUCUUCAAUAUUUGAUAAUUUUCUUAUAUGAAUCUUAAAUAAUUCAAUAACCAUCUGGAGUGUUGCGGGGUUGUUUCUUCAUCAGCUAUACCAUUGUAGAAUUUUAUACCAAGUACUGAACCUCAAGAAGUAGAAUAAAAAAUUAUACAUAAGAAUAAUAGAUGCUAAUUUUGUUUCAAUGCUUCAAGCUACUGGAACAAGACAAUACAUUCAGUAACUUCUCGUUAAUAGGAGAGCAGUCAUUCUGCUUAGUAGUCCUUUUGCUUUUCCACGAGGCGUUGGGGUUGGGGCUUGAUAAAAGUAGGAAAGAAAAACCCUUCUACAGUAGGAAUAGGUCAUAUAUAUAGUUCUUUUUUGGAGGAAAAUGAAGAAAUAAUACGCAGCACAGGCGUGUCAUGUUAGUGAGUAGGGUGCUCUUAAAUAAAUGGAUGCACAUGCCUUCAAAUCCUGCAAAAGAGAAUACAAUAUAAUCGUUGACAUUUUCCAUCAACAUGGUAUCUUUGGACAUAAAUAAUUUAGGAAGAUGAUAAUUACUGUGCAAAUUCAAUGUUGAUCCGGGCAUCGAUGUUUCUAGAGAUGGCACCAAAGGCUUCGGCCGAGAGUAGUAGUGUUGCUGGGCAGGGACUUUGACGGCAAAAGUCAACAACCUGCACAACAAUAAAUCCAUUCUUACAUGGUCGCCUGGGACCACUGAUGCACCGUAUCCUGUAUCUCCUCCCACAUGCUGCACCAUUGUCCCACACGCCAUCACUUGCAGCCACAAAAUAUCCUCCCGGGGGAAACUGGUCUUGGUCAUAUCCCUUGCAUCUUGUUGCUGCAUACAAUACAAAGGCAAAUUGGAGAUAAAUCAGGUAAUAAGCAAGUGACACAAUAGGGGGGUAAGUGUCCGAGUAUUUAGAAUUUUAUAUGUAUAGUUAUGAGGUGGUGGAGAUCUCUUUAGUAAAUUAUAGUGACAAUUAAGUAGAACUGAGAUAUAUUUUAGAUUUUACCAGAGUUGGUAGAAUAUAAAAAAAAGUGCAGGUUACAUACGCAAGUACGGAGGGUCAUAAGCUGAGGCAGUCCCAACAUCCCCUGAUGUUCCUGGAACAUCAAAGAAGAGGUAAGACAGAAGCAAAGUUGCCAACGAAAACUUCAUUGUAAAUACUCCAGGAACUUUGUUCGUGACGAAUAACUCUCUUAUUACAGCUUUGUUCUCUCUAGAAUUAUAUGUAUACAUAUAUACAUCUACCUCACCAACUUGUAUCCCUAUUUAUACUGGGUUUAGGGAUAGAAUUUCCAUAUGACUAAUUAAGCACUUAAAAAUAAUAUUUGAUAGUGCUUGAGAAUGUGCUUGGCACAAGAAGAAAUCACUUAUCUUUUUAUUAAUGUGUGUUACGUCAUGCUGGCGAUCUUAGACUUCUUGCCUUUCACUUUCUGUUACUUGGUGAUAUCAUUUCAGGAUCUUCUUGUAGAUCAAAAUAAGAGGUCAGCAAGCUUGCGGCUACUAUAAAUUGUCUUUUUUUUUUGCUGUUUGGAUUUCUCCUACCUACAUCGAUGUUUAUCGUUUUACUUUCCAACCUCCCACUUUUCUUUUCUUGGAAAAUUAAGUUCUCCUCUAUCCGUCUCUCUCACUCUUUCCAGAACAAGUCUGUGUGAAAUGGAUUAGUGAAAGGAUCUUUUCACGUAGCAGAAUGGGUAAAAUUCAAGUGGGCAUUAAAAGCUAGAAUUUUAGGGGUGAGAGAAUGGUUAUUAUAAUUUUUAGUUUAGCUGUUACGUUGUUUGGUAGAGAACAUGUAGUUAUCUCGGCUGAUUCCAAUGUCAAUUGGGAAUGCAUCUGAAGUUUGUUUAAAUAGAUUCUGUUAAUUCUAAUCAAUGUGGGAUAGAAUAGUUUUCCUUACAUUGUUGAUGGUUGUUAGGUUAUAUUGCUGAUAAAUGUUCCGGAAAUCUAUGUUGUCCAAAUAAAUUACUUACUGACAUAUUUUAAUUUUAUCCUGUCAAAGUAUUUCACUUAAAAGAAGAAAAUAAGAUAUUUAUCAGUAGAGAAAUUAUCUUUUGACUCUGGAAUAACAGGAAAAGCAAAAUUUAUGGUGUGGAUAGUUGCCAAUCUUUUGUAAAUUCUAUAGUGAAAUCUCAUGACGGCUAUAAAGAGUAUUUGCAUUUUGCUACUUGUGUUUAAAUUUGUUUUACACAAAUAGAAAUUAAGAAUCUUCUUUACAAGGGAUAGUGAAAGUAGCUUUGCUGACUUUGAUGUCAAAUUAUAUCCACUGACAUUGGUUGUACAAUUAACUUAUUAAACAUGAAUAGAUUUCACUUUUAAGUUGUAUAUACAUAUGUGUGUGUGUGUGUGUGUGUGUGUGUAUACGUAGAUUCCACUUUUAAUCUGGUAUAAUAUAUUUAUGUAUAUAUAUAUAUAUAUAUGCUUUUUUAAAAUUGAUAAAUUACGACAUUACUUAAAAGUAAUUUAGUAAAUUAUUUAAUUCUUAAUUUUUUUCUUAUAAUUUAAUUUUUAAUUUUUAUUUAUUUAUUUUAAGUGUUUAAUUUCUUUUAAAUUUUUAUCAGAAAAAAUUAAAAUCAUUAUUUUAUAUUUGAAUAUUUUAAAUAUAUAUAUGUUUAAUUAAUUAUUAAUAAAUUAUGUUUAUUUUUAUGACUAAUUCAAUUAAUUUGUUAAAAUUAUUUUUGAGGUAAUGAUCAAAACAUAAAUUAAUUAUUUUAAUUUCAUCUAUUAGGAAAUAAAAAAAUUAAAAUAUAAAAUAAAUAAAAAUUUUCAAAAAUUAAAUUGUAAGAAAAACAUUAAGACAAAUUUUAAAUAUUGAAUACUAACUUAAUAAUUUGUCAAAAAAAAUUAGUAGUGUGUAUAUAUAUAUAUAUAUAUAUAUUAUAUACUAUAUUAACUUAUGGGAUUAAGAUGGUAUUACUUAAUUUCAUUACCCUCUUGGAGAUAACUAUUCUGCCACUGAACAUAUAUGUAGAUAUACAUGUAAGAAGAGAUAACCCAAAAUCCUUAUUUAAAUAUAUGAAUGUUUAUCACUUUGACCGACCCAAUAAGUUACUAAAAAUGGUGGUGCAUGUACUUUCUGGUAAUAAAUAGAUAUAUGAUGACAGUCAACUUUACGAUUAAACAGUAAUUUGAUGCAGAUGCGCGAAGCUCAAAAGUGGAGGCGGCUCAAUUGGCAUGAACGUGCCAUGCAUGCUUCCAACCUCAGUGG